rnacentral:rRNA from 1 species
UACGGGGGGGCAAGCGUUGUUCGGAAUUACUGGGCGUAAAGGGCGCGUAGGCGGCCGCCUAAGUCGAACGUGAAAUCCCCGGGCUCAACCCGGGAACUGCGUCCGGAUACUGGGUGGCUUGGAAUUCGGGAGAGGGAUGCGGAAUUCCAGGUGUAGCGGUGAAAUGCGUAGAUAUCGGGAGGAACAUCAGUGGCGAAGGCGGCUAACCUGGCCC